UAAUACGUAGGGGGCAAGCGUUGUCCGGAUUUAUUGGGCGUAAAGAGCGUGUAGGCGGCCAGGUAGGUCGGCUGUGAAAACUCGAGGCUCAACCUCGAGAUGUCGGCCGAAACCAUCUGGCUAGAGUCCGGAAGAGGAGAGUGGAAUUCCCGGUGUAGCGGUGAAAUGCGCAGAUAUCGGGAGGAACACCCGUGGCGAAAGCGGCUCUCUGGGACGGUACUGACGCUGAGACGCGAAAGCGUGGGGAGCGAACA
rnacentral:rRNA from 1 species